rnacentral:rRNA from 1 species
GACGUAGGUGGCGAACGUUAUCCGGAAUUAUUGGGCGUAAAGCGUGCGUAGGUGGUUCGUUGUGUCUGUGGUGAAAUCCCCGGGCUUAACCUGGGAAUGGCCAUGGAAACUGGCGAGCUGGAGUCUGGCAGAGGGGGGUGGAAUUCCGCGUGUAGCAGUGAAAUGCGUAGAGAUGCGGAGGAACACCGAUGGCGAAGGCAGCCCCCUGGGCUAAGACUGACGCUGAGGCACGAAAGCGUGGGGAGCAAACAGG